GGUUGCGAUCAUACCAGCACUAAUGCACCGGAUCCCAUCAGAACUCCGCAGUUAAGCGUGCUUGGGCGAGAGUAGUACUAGGAUGGGUGACCCCCUGGGAGUCCUCGUGUUGCAACCCCCU
rnacentral:rRNA from 1 species